rnacentral:rRNA from 1 species
AAGAUUUAAAGCUUUGGUGGAUACGGAUUGGCUCGCGUGACAUUAGUUAGAUGGUAAGGUAACGGCUUACCAUGACUAUGAUGUCUAGGGGUUCUGAGAGGAAGGUCCCCCACACUGGAACUGAGACACGGUCCAGACUCCUACGGGAGGCAGCAGUGAGGAAUAUUGGACAAUGGAUGGAAAUCUGAUCCAGCCAUGCCGCGUGCAAGAUGAAGGUCCUAUGGAUUGUAAACUGCUUUUGUAUGGGAGCAAUAAGGUCUUCGUGAAGGCCGAUGAGAGUACCAUACGAAUAAGCACCGGCUAACUCCGUGCCAGCAGCCGCGGUAAUACGGAGGGUGCAAGCGUUAUCCGGAUUUAUUGGGUUUAAAGGGUGCGUAGGCGGUGAUAUAAGUCAGCGGUGAAAGUUUUCAGCUCAACUGGAAAAAUGCCGUUGAUACUGUAUCGCUGGAAUAUGGUUGCUGUGAGUGGAAUGUGUAGUGUAGCGGUGAAAUGCUUAGAGAUUACACAGAAUAUCGAUUGCGAAGGCAGCUCACAAAGCCAUUAUUGACGCUGAGGCACGAAAGUGUGGGGAUCAAACAGGAUUAGAUACCCUGGUAGUCCACACGGUAAACGAUGUGCACUAGGUGCUGGGGCGGAUGCCUCAGUGCCGUAGCUAACGUGAUAA